GAGGGUCUAGCUCAGUGGUAGAGUGCAUGCUUAGCAUGCACGAGGUCCUGGGUUCAGUCCCCAGUACCUUCA
rnacentral:tRNA from 1 species